GAUGAACGCUGGCGGCGUGCCUAAUACAUGCAAGUCGAGCGAACAGACGAGGAGCUUGCUCCUUCGACGUUAGCGGCGGACGGGUGAGUAACACGUAGGUAACCUACCUAUAAGACUGGGAUAACUUCGGGAAACCGGAGCUAAUACCGGAUAAUAUUUCGAACCGCAUGGUUCGAUAGUGAAAGAUGGCUUUGCUAUCACUUAUAGAUGGACCUGCGCCGUAUUAGCUAGUUGGUAAGGUAACGGCUUACCAAGGCAACGAUACGUAGCCGACCUGAGAGGGUGAUCGGUCACACUGGAACUGAGACACGGUCCAGACUCCUACGGGAGGCAGCAGUAGGGAACCUUCCGCAAUGGGCGAAAGCCUGACGGAGCAACGCCGCGUGAGUGAUGAAGGUCUUCGGAUCGUAAAACUCUGUUAUUAGGGAAGAACAAACGUGUAAGUAACUGUGCACGUCUUGACGGUACCUAAUCAGAAAGCCACGGCUAACUACGUG
rnacentral:rRNA from 1 species